CAGGGAAAGCUGAAAGAGAAGUGAAACAACCCAUAUAAGCACUAAGAAACAAAGACUAAACCUUGUACCUUUUGCAUCAUGAUUUAGCCAGCACCCUCAAGCAAAGAGACCUUUAGUUUGAAACCCCGAAACCAGGUGAGCUACCCCGAGACAGCCUAUAUUAUUUAGGGCUAACCCGUCUCUGUGGCAAAAGAGUGGGAAGAGCUCCGGGUAGAAGUGACAGACCUACCGAACCUGGUGAUAGCUGGUUGUCUGAGAAGUGGAUAGAAGUUCAGCCUCAUACACCCCAAAUCAAUAUGUAUAUUAUUAAGAUACUGAGGGAAACAUAUGAGAGUUAGUUGAAAGGGGUACAGCCCUUUUAACAAAGGAUACAACCUUUACAGGAGAAUAAAGAUCAUAAUAUGUAAAACAUACUGUUUUAGUGGGCCUAAAAGCAGCCACCUAAAUAGAAAGCGUUAAAGCUCAGACAGAAAGAAGUUUAUUAUACCGAUAAAAAAUCUUAUUUCCCUAAUUAUAUCAGAUUAACCCAUGCCAACAUGGAAGAAAUUAUGCUAGAAUGAGUAACAAGAAGACCUGCGCUUCUCCUUGCACAAGUGUAAACCAGAUCGGACAAGCCACUGGAACUUAACGAACCCAACCCAAGAGGGUAAUGUGAACAACAAAAAUAUCAAGAAGAAUUCACAAUUAGACUAAUCGUUAACCCCACACUGGAGUGCUAUUUUAUAAAGGAAAGACUAAAGGGUGGGAAAGGAACUCGGCAAACACAAGCCUCGCCUGUUUACCAAAAACAUCGCCUCCUGCAACUAAAUUGAGUAUAGGAGGUCCAGCCUGCCCAGUGACUACGGGUUCAACGGCCGCGGUAUUUUGACCGUGCAAAGGUAGCGCAAUCACUUGUCUCUUAAAUAGAGACCUGUAUGAAUGGCUAGACG
rnacentral:rRNA from 1 species